rnacentral:tRNA from 1 species
AGCUCAGUUGGUAGAGUGUUUGCCUCGCAUGCACAAGGCCCUGGGUUCAAUCCCCAG